rnacentral:rRNA from 1 species
UACAGAGGGUGCGAGCGUUAACCGGAAUUACUGGGCGUAAAGCGCACGCAGGCGGUCUGUCAAGUCGGAUGUGAAAUCCCCGGGCUCAACCUGGGAACUGCAUUCGAAACUGGCAGGCUAGAGUCUUGUAGAGGGGGGUAGAAUUCCAGGUGUAGCGGUGAAAUGCGUAGAGAUCUGGAGGAAUACCGGUGGCGAAGGCGGCCCCCUGGACAAAGACUGACGCUCAGGUGCGAAAGCGUGGGGAGCAAACAGG